rnacentral:rRNA from 1 species
UGGGGAAUAUUGGACAAUGGGCGCAAGCCUGAUCCAGCCAUGCCGCGUGAGUGAUGAAGGCCUUAGGGUUGUAAAGCCCUUUCGCCGGUGAAGAUAAUGACGGUAACCGGAGAAGAAGCCCCGGCUAACUUCGUGCCAGCAGCCGCGGUAAUACGAAGGGGGCUAGCGUUGCUCGGAAUCACUGGGCGUAAAGCGCACGUAGGCGGAUCGUUAAGUCAGGGGUGAAAUCCUGGAGCUCAACUCCAGAACUGCCCUUGAUACUGGCGAUCUCGAGUUCGAGAGAGGUUGGUGGAACUCCGAGUGUAGAGGUGAAAUUCGUAGAUAUUCGGAAGAACACCAGUGGCGAAGGCGGCCAACUGGCUCGAUACUGACGCUGAGGUGCGAAAGCGUGGGGAGCAAAACAGGAUUAGAUACCCUGGUAGUCCACGCCGUAAACGAUGGAUGCUAGCCGUUGGGGGGUUUACCUCUCAGUGGCGCAGCUAACGCCUUAAGCAUCCCGCCUGGGGAGUACGGUCGCAAGAUUAAAACUCAAAUGAAUUGACGGGGUCAUAGCUGUUUCCU